UGUCCCUUAUGUACUAGUUAUUGAGCUCAUUGGAUGCCUGGAACCUGCAUACUUUGUACAAACCUGAAUGGCAGAGCAACCCAUCUCAGUGAUGUCAUGUGUCAUGUGGUGAUGGCAGCUUGUAGAGCUGAGUUUUCUAUCCAGAGAACCAAGGUGCCCAGAAGUGCCCCAAGGCCACCACUGCCGCAUGGCAACCCAUGGGCUGUGGUGCUGGGGACAACAGCCAUGGGGAUGGAUGGACACUGGAAACCACCUGGCCAAGGUGUGCAUCUCCUCCUUCACCGUGAACCACGCCAAAUGCUCAGAUGGUAUCGGGGUGCACGAAGACGUCUCCAGGUGGUUUUGUCACACAUGAGGCAAAGCUCUGUUCCAGAACACUCUGUCCAUCUGCAACUACAGGUCUCCCAGGAACUGACUGUGACAAGAUGGAAGGUCAUCUUUGAACGCAACUCUAAUCAAAGAACAAGACUUAAUGUAUCCCCUGUCGGCAAUGUCAUGAUGGGAAUUCUCAGUGGAAGUCUUUACAAAACAGUAUUUCUGUCAUUACCUCGUGGCUUACACGCAGCGUAUCACAGCAGCUGAGGAUGGAAAUGUGUAAGAAAUUAUUUGUGAGGGGAAAAAAGAAAGAGAAAAAUCAGCUAUGGAAGACAGAAGUAGAGUGCUCCUGAAACAUCAGCACAGCUUGGAGGGGAAACACACAAGUGAUGACCCCAUGGGAAAGUGGCACAAGGUGCUCCAGGAUCUUAAACACUCCUGAGAGACAUGUUGACAUUCAGACAUCUCAGGUCUGGGCUUGGAUCAACACGUUCUUCCCAACCAUUUCCUCCAUGAGGUGUUUUCCCGUCUUGUUUUUCAGGGUUGCUACCACCGUCCAACUUCUGUUACAGCGCUUCAUGGCAUCCAGUUAUGUAUCUGAUCUUCUUUCCAUUCCUGUAACCAGCCCGGUGCCCCUUCAUCUUUUUUGUUCUUACCUCAUCUGUUGAACAAAUGUCACAGCCACAGUUAUUAGAAAUAUUUGAACCUGACAGCUGCAAAUACUCAAAGGCAACUAUAUGUGCCCAGGCCUAUAAUUAGGUGGAGCGUUUAAUUUUCUUUUUAAAUCACAGAGAUCCUGUAUUGGAAUCUCUGCUGACACAGAACAUCAAUACAGACAGUGUGACUUAGCAAUCUUUAUGGUCAUUUAUUUUCCAUGCAUGUAGGGACAACCAAUACAUCUAUUGUGGCAUCUAUUGUGUUGAUUUUGCUUCGCUGAAGCUCAGACAGUGCUCAGCUUCAGCAGAGACAGCACACUGGCUGCAACAAAGGUAAAGUGUGUUCCUUAGUGACUACUAAGUGGGUUAAAUAAGAACAACGUGUAAUUAUUAGUUAAUAAGUGCUGCAAGGUGCACUGAAACUGAAGUGGAAAAUCAGUUGUGUAGAUAUCUCUCUCUCAUCACCCCAGUCUUAUGGAGGGAUGAUCAAGACACCAGGGAUGCCCAGUUUUCUCAGAGCCAAAGUAACAGGUGAAGUUAGAGGCAACAAGUCACAGCCUUGGGUCUCAUUGUUCAGAGCAGUUGGGUUUUUCUUGAUA